rnacentral:rRNA from 1 species
GUCUUUUUGAUAAUAAUUUAAAGUCUGGCCUGCCCAAUGAUAAUUUAAAUGGCCGCGGUAUUUUGACCGUGCAAAGGUAGCAUAAUCAUUAGUUUUUUAAUUGAAAGCUUGUAUGAAAGGUUGAACGAGAAAAUUACUGUCUCAAUUUUAUUUAAUAAGAAUUUUAUUUUUAAGUUAAAAAGCUUAAAUAAUUUUAAAAGACGAGAAGACCCUAUAGAGUUUUAUAUUUUUAAUAAUAGAUUUUUAAAUUAUUUAUUUAAUUAUUUAGAAUAUUUUAUUGGGGUGAUAAAUAAAUUUAAUAAACUUUAUUUUUUUUAAAACAUUUAUUUAUGUUAAUAAUGAUCCAAAUUUUUUGAUUAUAAGAUUAAAUUACCUUAGGGAUAACAGCGUAAUUUUUUUUGAGAGUUCAUAUCGAAAAGAAAGAUUGCGACCUCGAUGUUGGAUUAAAAUUUAUUUUUGGUGUAGAAGCUAAAAAAUUAAGUCUGUUCGACUUUUAAAAUUUUACAUGAUCUGAGUUUAAACCGGUGUGAGCCAGGUUGGUUUCUAUCUUUAAAUAAUAGAAAAUAUUUUAGUACGAAAGGACCAAAUAUUUAUAAAAUUUAUUUUGUUAUUGAAUAUUAUUGUUAUUUUGGCAGAUUAGUGCAUUAAAUUUAGAAUUUAAUUAUGUAAUUUAUUACAAAUAAUACUUGUUUUAUAAGGAUUUAAUUUUAAUAUUUAUUAGAAGUUUAUUAUUAGUAAUUUGUAUUUUAAUU